GUACUUGCUUUGAUAGUACAUAUAUUAAAUUUGCCUGACUCAGAAAAGAUUAACAUGGCCCCUGUACAAGGAUAACAUGCAAAUUGUGAAGCUUCCACAUUUUUU